AGUGAACGCUGGCGGUAGGCCUAACACAUGCAAGUCGAACGGCAGCACAGUAAGAGCUUGCUCUUACGGGUGGCGAGUGGCGGACGGGUGAGGAAUACAUCGGAAUCUACUUUUUCUUGGGGGAUAACGUAGGGAAACUUACGCUAAUACCGCAUACGACCUACGGGUGAAAGCAGGGGAUCUUCGGACCUUGCGCGAUUGAAUGAGCCGAUGUCGGAUUAGCUAGUUGGCGGGGUAAAGGCCCACCAAGGCGACGAUCCGUAGCUGGUCUGAGAGGAUGAUCAGCCACACUGGAACUGAGACACGGUCCAGACUCCUACGGGAGGCAGCAGUGGGGAAUAUUGGACAAUGGGCGAAAGCCUGAUCCAGCCAUACCGCGUGGGUGAAGAAGGCCUUCGGGUUGUAAAGCCCUUUUGUUGGGAAAGAAAAGCAGCAGGUUAAUACCCCGCUGUUCUGACGGUACCCAAAGAAUAAGCACCGGCUAACUUCGUG
rnacentral:rRNA from 1 species